GUGGACUAGCAGCAGAUGAUUUCUGUCACAAUUGAUCCGUUGCACUGAGGCCCCACGCUCUGCUGCCAACAACUCUAUUUAAGGUGAAUGCCAUACAUCCAUUACCCACAGAGAGGAACUGCUGCAGGCAAAAGAUUCAUAUGAAGGCUUAAAACAGGCUCUGUGCGGGACAGAUAGCAGAAGGAAUUAACAGCCAUUUCACGCUAGCACUUCGGUGCAGGGCACUGGGAGAGGGAUGCAGCUCGGGUGCAGCUGGGGCACUGACGGCCCCCGAGACACUCUGUAAUUGUACUGCUCUGAAGAGCAGGAAUGUGAAGGAUUGCAGGUCGACUUGGGAGCGCCUCGGGGUGGGCAAAAAAUACCAGCUGAUGUCACCCGCUAACAGAGCUGCAGCCUCUGUAGGCAGCAUGGAGUUGGACCAGAGCGGGAACAAAGGAGACAUUGACCCUCGGGUGCGGGACAAUAAUGUGGCACUACAAAACAAGGCUACCCGUGGGGCAGGUGACAGGACUUCCAGGGCACAGGUCCUGUGAACUGUCAGGAGUGGGGAGUAAUGCUGACUGGGCAGGGGUUGGGGGUGAAUAGUCCACAUCACUGACCUGAAGCACUGGAACAUUACCAACGUACUUACGCAAGCCCACAACUUCACUGGUUGGAUCAGCCUGACCAAGCUCAUCAGUCUAGUUCAAGCUGCCUACGAUCAGGGAAAUCUGGCUCUAAAAACCCACUGUCUGUUACCUGUCCAUCACCAAACACCUUCCCUUCUUCCUCUUCCUCAGAUGGAAGAUGACAAGUGGAAGCAGUAUUUUUUCUUUUUCUUAUCCUCCUUCCAUCCUUUUUCCAUAGCCCUCAGAAAGCAAAGGCUGUGAUUUUAUUUUGCUGUGCAUUUGUUUGAUUCUAUGACAAUGAAUAUGAUUUAUCACAGGGAUAUUUUGAGUUUGUAUUUAUGCAUCAUAUGGGUUUUUUUCUUUUUCUUUACAGCUAGAGUGACAUGUGCCACAUGCUAAGCAAUAUGUUAACCAGUGGUUAGUUAUUAGUUUGGCAGAUCUACUAUAUGGUAAGUUAUCAAGGAAAUGUGAAUUAGAUUCAUAAAACAUACCUGAUUUUUAUUUUAUCUUCAGUCUUCAACUGCACUGUGUAUCACUUGGAAAAUUCAUUGAAUGGUCACCCAUUUCAUGACUUAUGCAUAGAGUUUGACUAACUGUUGAUCUGCCUACAAAGCUUAAAACAGUAAAAAUUUAGAGUCAAUAAGUCAUAAUGUCUAUGGUAAGAGUUGUUUUUACUAUAUUUUUAAGUUAAGACGGUCCAAUUCUGUUGUUUGAAUAAAGACUGCAUCAAUGUGUCCUGUUUUAAUAAUAUGGCAUGUUUCUAUUCAGUAAUAAUGCAGUGAUGUUGUGAAACAAUUCAUAAACACUUAAAGGUGUCUCACUUUAUAAUAUGUACCCAUGUCAGCAAUCUUAGUAAAUCAUUAAAAAAAAAAAGUUGCAUAUUUAUCACUUUCUAAUAAGUCAUGCCAUCUUGUCUGCAGUUACAGAUGUUAGUAAAGUAUUAGGUCCAGUGUUUCCAACUUUCUAAUAAAUCAUCUUCUGCAGGUAUUAAUGUUAGUGAGUCAUUAAUAAUCAGGUCUUGGGUUUCUAAAUUACUAAUAAGCCAAA